ensembl:snoRNA
UUGCUUUUGUAGCUUAAGUGUGAUGACUGAGUUUGCAUGUGCAUGUGUGAGAUGUGCCAACCUCGAACCUUAUUACAGCAUGAGCACAUUACCCAUCUGACA